rnacentral:lncRNA from 1 species
GAAUUUUAAGAAAAUGCGUUUUAAUGCAAUUCAUUUUCCUAAUAAGGAAAAAGUCUUCUGAAGUGGAGUAGGUGUAUGAUAGAUAGAAAAGUUAGUAGGGGGCAGUCUUUUCUCCACUAAUAAAAUGCUAAUUUUUAUUUCAGGAGUGAUGAUGCAUUUCGGCAAGCGUUCUUGCCAUCAUCAAACUCUAAAAUGUAUUACAAACAGUUCAAAAACAUUUACGAAAAUUUUUUCCGACAUAUGAUUUAAAAAAAUACAUACUAAAAUUGUCUUAGAACAUUGAAAGGCUAGAAUUAGUAAACAACAACUGUUUGAGUCCAACAUGUGCACAGGGGCAAGAGGGGUGUUUUGUUUACAAACAUAUUUGCCGAUUCUCUGUUGUCAAGUCGACGCAAAUUUCCAACGGAAGAAAUUUUUAGCUAUAUUUUAACAACCAUUAUAACGUUAAUUUAACUUAUUUGUGUUGUAUUUUAUAGGAAAAUUUAAAAUAAAAAGAAUAAAUACUACAAUUAACCUAUUUUAAGAAUAAAUAUAAUAUCCUUAAGCAAAAAAAAAAACAAAAUUACUAACAUUGUUAUCCCUAAAACUGCUUCUGAAAAAUUUAAAGCGACAACACCGGAGCUUAAGUGUCUGAGCCAUACGCGUAGUGUCAUCUGUCAAACGGCUUUUUGUUUAUUUUCGGGAUUCGUGUAUUUUCUUUAAUUUUCGGUUUCAAAAGGAAAAAGGCCACAUUUUAGUGUUUUUUUAAAUUGCUAGGAUGGGAAAAACUUGUGUCGCUUGUGUCGCUUGUGCCGCAUCAUGAUAAAAAGGUGAUUCAAGCCGAUCUUUUCACAAGUAAGUACCGAUACUUUCAUAACAUCACAUCAUGGGGUAACCAUCAUCAUAAACGUAGAAUAGGGGAUCUUAUAGAUAAACCUAAUAAAAACUUGAAUGUGAAAGUGUGCGUAAAAUACCAAAAUAUUUAUAUUUUUAAAUCUAAAUAUUUUUUUGAACAUAUUCAUCUAUCAAUAGGCUAUAAAAAUAUAAAACUAGAAUUUUGUCCCUGGUUUUAUUACAGGAUUUUAUGUUUUUUUGUUGUUGUUUUGGCAGAAAGAAGGCAUACCUAAUAACCAUGUACCUAUCUAUGUAUAGUUAUGUUUUUUUAAUAUAGACAUUAGGUAGAUAGAUGAAAUUACUAAUUUUUUAUUGCCGUUAAAGAAUUUUGAAAAUUAUUUAGAUAUUGAUAUCUAUGUAUAAAGUUAAUUUUGUCUUUCCCUAAAAUUUGGUCGAUAUUUUUUUUUGUUUUACCAUAUUGCAACUUACAAUAAUAUAUAUAGAAAUUGGCACCACAUAUUAAUUCAUUACUGUAAUUUUUUUUGCUUUUUGAUUAAAUAUCAAAUACUUAUUAUAGAUUGCCUAAUAUAUGCCCAAAGGGAACAAUGGAUUUCAUUAAUGGAAAUCAACACAAUUAAACAGAACAUGUUUGUUCAGAUCACAUCCUUAGAAGUGAUUUCUUAUAUAAGGAAGAUAAUAUUAUCAGUAGCCAGACUUAAACAGAUUAAAAAAAUCAGCUCUACCUCAAAGGAUUUCUGAUGCACUGGUUAAAAACACAGCAGCUGAUAAUUCAGUUAAUUUACCAAGUGAUUUACCCUUCACAGCUGCAGGGGUAGCUUUCCUGAAGAGUGCAAAAACUUCUUUAGCUUCCAAAAUGGUAUAUAGUACAAACAGUGAAGCUGAUAUAGACAAAUCUGAUCAUUCAUCAUCAACAAUAACUGCAUCUGAGAUUAAUAGUUCUACAGUAACCGUGGAGUCUAGGUCAACAAUUACUAUUUCUCAUCCAAGCCGUUUUUGUUUAACUGCUACAUAUUGCCUGACUCUGCCAAGGAAAAGGGUAAAAUCAAAAUGAUAUCCUGAGGACCUAAGCACUGAUGAUUCCACCGUUUCAAAAGCUAAAUCACUUGUUACCAAAUUAUGGAAAAAAAAUAAAGAGCAAAAAAUUAAAAUUCGAAGAUUGCAAUAAACAAAUUUGCCCCAAAGAAAUUGAAUUAGAUGUCUCAAGUUAUUAUUAAAAUACUUAAGAAAUAAUAACAUGAUUUUCGAAAAAGCCCAACAUACUACAUAUUUUAUUUGACUUGUAAAAGUACUUGUUUGUAUAUUUUUACUAAUAAACUAUUUAAUCUAAUCUAU